CAGGCUUAGAUGUACAGGCUGUGAUUUUUGACUGCAGUGGAAUAUCCUUUGUGGAUUCAUCUGGCGCACGGCUCCUUAUCCAGGUGUGUGUGGAAUGUCAAAAAGCCGGCAUACAGAUACAUUUGUCUGCCUGUAAUGCCAAUGUCCUAGAGACCUUGCGUUUUUGUGGCCUCAUGCAUCAUCUCACCCCUCAGCAGAUUUUUGUCACCGUUCAUGACGCAGUU